AAAAUUAGUUUAUUUAAAAAAUAUUAAUCUGUCAGAUUAAUGAUACUUUCAGGGUAUUUUUUU
rnacentral:tRNA from 1 species